rnacentral:rRNA from 1 species
ACUCCUACGGGAGGCAGCAGUGGGGAAUAUUGCACAAUGGGCGCAAGCCUGAUGCAGCCAUGCCGCGUGUAUGAAGAAGGCCUUCGGGUUGUAAAGUACUUUCAGCAGUGNGGAAAGGGCGGGUACGUUAAUAGCGUGCUCGUUUGACGUUAGCUGCAGAAGAAGCACCGGCUAACUCCGUGCCAGCAGCCGCGGUAAUACGGAGGGUGCGAGCGUUAAUCGGAAUUACUGGGCGU